GACGAACGCUGGCGGCGUGCUUAACACAUGCAAGUCGAACGGUGAAGGGACCGGUUUUUGCUGGUUCUGGAUGAGUGGCGAACGGGUGAGUAACACGUGAGUAACCUGCCCCCUUCUUCUGGAUAACCGCAUGAAAGUGUGGCUAAUACGGGAUAUUCUGCGCCUGCUGCAUGGUGGGUGUGGGAAAGAUAUUGUUUCGGUGGGGGAUGGGCUCGCGGCCUAUCAGCUUGUUGGUGGGGUGAUGGCCUACCAAGGCGGUGACGGGUAGCCGGCCUGAGAGGGUGGACGGUCACACUGGGACUGAGACACGGCCCAGACUCCUACGGGAGGCAGCAGUGGGGAAUAUUGCACAAUGGGAGCAAGCCUGAUGCAGCGACGCCGCGUGAGGGAUGGAGGCCUUCGGGUUGUAAACCUCUUUCGCCAGUGAAGCAGGCCUGUCCCUUUUGUGGGUGGGUUGACGGUAGCUGGAUAAGAAGCGCCGGCUAACUACGUG
rnacentral:rRNA from 1 species